rnacentral:lncRNA from 1 species
AAUCGUUGAUUACCGCCGAUUGAUUUGGAAUCUUUGAGUUUUGCGUUAUCCGAACAAUUAUUUCUCUCCUUCUUUGCAGAGGUCUUACGAAAUUCAUGGAGGAAGGAGUGAAUGACGAUCCGGCCUUUAAAGUAAGGAUGAUGAAUUCUGUAUUUUUGUGCACGACUAAAUUGGUGUUGGGACUGGAUGAUACGAACAGUUCUCUUACUUAAAAUCUUACAUUUUGCACGGGUUGAUUUUUUGACACAGUGGAGACGGCGCGCCGCGGCGCACUAUUUUGCGAUAAGGUAAAAAGAAAAAACACUUUUGAGGCUGGAUUUUGAGAUAAUAAACAAUUGACAAGCGCAACAAGCUGAAAAGCGAUUCUAAAAAUUAGUUGACUUUCGUACAACAGAAUAAUACAUACAAAAUUAUUCAUCAUUAAAAAUUAUUUUUCCUAUUGAAUUAGAAUUCUAUGCACGAGCUCAUAUUACACUCAUAUAUCAAACUACGCGAAUGGACCAGCAAGCUAAAUAAGAACUUCAUUGACACAGUACCAGGACUUUUGAAUAACAAAUUUUAAUAUUUCUUUCUCUUCUUUUUCUUUCAGAAAUACACUUUGUGUAUGUUGAAAAAAUAUGCAAGGGUUUAAAAACGGAAAAAAAAAUGGCGAUCAGGAUAUAGAAAACCAGGCGAAGGCAAUGCUUCCACCGCCGUUACGAGACGCCAUUUUAGAUGCCACCUCUCAGUGUAGCAAUACAGGUGGAGAUACACCUGAGGACAUUACGUACAAUUUCAGCAAGUGCAGUCACAAAGCAAAUAUCAAGAGUGUCAUGAUAAUCUGAGACUUCAUGCGGUACCAGACCGAAGGCAACUUAACUCACGCAUCGGUAACUGCUUAAGUUGGUGUUGCCUGGCUUUCAAAAUUUCUCGACUGAAAAUUCAUUUAAAAAAAGCAUUCUUUUAGUAAUUGUAUUGUAAACGUGUAAUUAAAAUAUAAAUGUUUGUUUUCUUACUUUUCUGAAUUGGUAUUAUUUCUACAGAUAAGUUUGGAUGAUUUCAUCAGAAGCAUACCCGCGCGUUGGUAAAGAAGUUUAAAAAUUACAUGUAAAACCCAUUUCUUAAGCAAAUCAAAUUGACUUAUUAUAACAUUGAACUAUUAGCAUAACUGCAGGAAGAAGUUUUUAAUGGAUAUUUUGGCACUGGAAAAAUUCUUGGAGGCCAAACAGGAGUUAUGGUGGAUUGAAUUUUGUGGUCCAAAAAUCAUGUUUGUAU